GACGAACGCUGGCGGCGUGCUUAACACAUGCAAGUCGAACGGUGAAAGCGGAGCUUGCUCCGCUGGAUCAGUGGCGAACGGGUGAGUAACACGUGGGCAACCUGCCCCUCACUUCGGGAUAACUCCGGGAAACCGGGGCUAAUACCGGAUAUGACCUCCUUGGGCAUCCUUGGAGGUGGAAAGUUUUUCGGUGAGGGAUGGGCCCGCGGCCUAUCAGCUUGUUGGUGAGGUAGUGGCUCACCAAGGCGACGACGGGUAGCCGGCCUGAGAGGGCGACCGGCCACACUGGGACUGAGACACGGCCCAGACUCCUACGGGAGGCAGCAGUGGGGAAUAUUGCGGAAGGGGCGAAAGCCUGACGCAGCAACGCCGCGUGCGGGAUGACGGCCUUCGGGUUGUAAACCACUUUCAGCAGGGAAGAAGCCGCAAGGUGACGGUACCUGCAGAAGAAGCACCGGCUAACUACGUGCCAGCAGCCGCGGUAA
rnacentral:rRNA from 1 species